rnacentral:rRNA from 1 species
UGGGGAAUAUUGCACAAUGGGGGAAACCCUGAUGCAGCAACGCCGCGUGAGUGAUGAAGGCCUUCGGGUUGUAAAGCUCUGUCUUUGGGGACGAUAAUGACGGUACCCAAGGAGGAAGCCACGGCUAACUACGUGCCAGCAGCCGCGGUAAUACGUAGGUGGCAAGCGUUGUCCGGAUUUACUGGGCGUAAAGGAUGCGUAGGCGGAUAUUUAAGUGAGAUGUGAAAUACCCGGGCUCAACUUGGGUGCUGCAUUUCAAACUGGAUAUCUAGAGUGCAGGAGAGGAAAGUGGAAUUCCUAGUGUAGCGGUGAAAUGCGUAGAGAUUAGGAAGAACAUCAGUGGCGAAGGCGACUUUCUGGACUGUAACUGACGCUGAGGCAUGAAAGCGUGGGGAGCAAACA